rnacentral:sRNA from 1 species
GUUUAAUUCUGUUUUUUUUUUCCAGAUUAU